rnacentral:rRNA from 1 species
GAUGAACGCUAGCGACAGGCUUAACACAUGCAAGUCGAGGGGUAGCAGGGGGUAGCAAUACUUUGCUGACGACCGGCGCACGGGUGAGUAACGCGUAUGCAACUUACCUAUCAGAGGGGGAUAACCCGGCGAAAGUCGGACUAAUACCGCAUAAAACAGGGGUCCCGCAUGGGAAUAUUUGUUAAAGAUUUAUUGCUGAUAGAUAGGCAUGCGUUCCAUUAGGCAGUUGGCGGGGUAACGGCCCACCAAACCGACGAUGGAUAGGGGUUCUGGGAGGAAGGUCCCCCACAUUGGUACUGAGACACGGACCAAACUCCUACGGGAGGCGGCAGUGAGGAAUAUUGGUCAAUGGGCGCGAGCCUGAACCAGCCAAGUCGCGUGAAGGAUGAAGGUUCUAUGGAUUGUAAACUUCUUUUAUUGGGGAAUAAAGUGCAGGACGUGUCCUGUUUUGUAUGUACCCAACGAAUAAGCAUCGGCUAACUCUGUGCCAGCAGCCGCCGUAA